rnacentral:rRNA from 1 species
UACGUAGGGUGCAAGCGUUAAUCGGAAUUACUGGGCGUAAAGCGUGCGCAGGCGGUUAUAUAAGACAGUUGUGAAAUCCCCGGGCUCAACCUGGGAACUGCAUCUGUGACUGUAUAGCUAGAGUACGGUAGAGGGGGAUGGAAUUCCGGGUGUAGCGGUGAAAUGCGUAGAUAUCCGGAGGAACACCGGUGGCGAAGGCGGCUUCCUGGACCGACACUGACGCUGAGGCGCGAAAGCUAGGGGAGCAAACGGG